CGUCCGUUACGUUGGUGACGUCACCACGAGCGCGAGAAGUCGAAGGUAGGAGCAGAAAGCGGUGUUAGUGUUAGUUCUGGCCCGUUUGGACCCAAACUAAAGUGUAUCAGUAUGAAGCAGGCGGUGACGGCGCACUGAUUCACUCUCGGAGCUCGGUUCACUAAUGACCGAAUCACCGAGGAACCGACCAAAUAUAACUCACACCCGCACGGAGAAGAAGAACAAGAGGAGGAGAAGAUGAACUGGAGUGGGGCAAAGAGAACUGCAUUCAGAUCAAACGGAUACAAGAGAGGUGGCCGAGUUGUUUGAGGAUCUAAAGAAUUGAGUGUCACAAUUCAACAUGCACAUCAGCGAAACUUUUCCCUCUGACUACACCAGCACGCACGCACAGAAAUUCAUAGUGCAGGUGGCGAUUGCAGGCGCAUUUUAUCCGAACUGCUUCCUCCAGGGAACUCUAUGGAAACGACCCCAGGACCACCAUAGUGGUGUGUAAUCUCCCUCCAUUUGCAUUCCUCUACUAUAAACAGCUCCAGUCUCUCUUCAGACACUGUGGUUAAAUCAAAUCCAUCUCCUUUGACAGCUCCAGGGCCUAUGUAGAGUUCUACCGCUCGUCAAUGAGAGGUUCUGGCGUUCUCCCAGAGGUCUCUCUGUCUCUCCUCCUCACGCAGCAGAGACUUCCUCUCCAUCUCAACGUUUAACCCGCUGGAGAGGUGGAGACUUGGGCAGGGGGGUAGUGUAUCUCACACCUCAGAUAUACACGGUACACACACACUCUGCAGCGAGCAUCAUCAGAUGAGUCAUGGUUACAUUUUAAGUGAGAGUAGUCAUGUGACCACAUCUCCUAGACAGUGACAGUUUAGAUGAUGUUCUGUACAUUAGUGCUGUUCUGUUACAGGUCUCUCUCUCUGUGUCUCUCUCACUCACUGUGUGUGUGUGUCUCUCUCAGGGUGAAUGUGGAUUUUCAGAAUCAGUCAGUGAGCCCUGUCGGGGUUCUGAGCAGCUCCAUUGAGUUGGAGAAUCUUCCGUCUAACCCUGUCUUUAUCGUCAAUAUCACCGAGGUGUCUGUUCCGCCUCUUUCACUUUCAGUGCACAAAUAAAAAAGAAGCUGUGGCUCCUGUGUGUGUGUGUGUGUGUGUGUGUGUGUGUGUGUGUGUGUGUGUGUGUGUGUGUGUGUGUGUGCACUAACAGGAGGUCCAGGUGCAGCCUUUGGAUAUUGAUGAAGAUUUACUGCCCCUGCAAGACCUUCCUCAACUGCGUAGUCUGGAGCAAAGGAUGCAACAGAGCCCAGAUUACAAGCAAAAUCUGGUAAACUGGUUGGCGCUUAUUGACGGGGUGUAUGUGCGUGACUGCACCUGGCGCAUAUUGAAGAGGGUGAUUGCUAACUCCCUGGCAAAGAAUCUCAAUUGGAGGGGAGUCAAUGGAAAGACUUCACUGUCCGCUCUCCAACUCGGAGAGGUCGUGAUUGCUGCAGUUCAUAGAAACCUCUUCACGGCUAAAGCUGCAGAGAUGGAGGUCGAGGGGACCAUGAAGAGGCGGCUCCAGCUGGCAUCAGAUCGAGAGUGUGGGCGCAAGAGCAGACUUUUGAUAAAGGAGGGUAUUUACAGUGUUUUAACUGCGUGUCGGCCUUGGAGAUGAGAAUCACGCCAACUCGGAACGAUCCCCUCUCUUUGUGCAGUUCAUCGACUGUGUGUGGCAGAUGAUGAGACAGGUCAGCUACUGAUGCUUUACACCACAACACUGUUGAAUUCUCCAAUCUGAUUGGUCAGAAGGCGUUGGAGACAUUUCUGGAACAGCAAGAUUCUGAUUCCAGCUGCAAGGGAAAUUACAGCUUUAUAGUGAUGUGCUCGUUCUCGUUCCUAUAGUAACAGCUCUUUCACAGGGUCUAGUAUGGCGUACGCAAUACAUAUUCUAAGCUUAAUCGUAAACAUAUUAUAAACAUGUCACUUAAAGAAAAAGACGUAUGAUCAUUGUGAUCUAGUUAAGAUUUAUAAGUUAUCUAUUUAUGGAAGUUUUAUGGAAGUAGUCUCCAGUGUCACGGCAGAGAGGACAUUGCACUUUCCAGUUUCUCAGUAACAUUGCAAGUCUUAUUAAUUUCAAGAGUUAGGGGGAAAAAAGAGAGGCUUGUGAGGGAACUAUUGUUUUAUUUUAAUGUUAUAAAGUAAGAGAUCAUAAUGAGAACUAACUCUCUUUUCCAGGACAUUCCAAAUUGUUCUUUGGCUAUGCCCCAUGUUUGUGCAAUGGUUCAGACCGGUUUUUCCUCUUUUCGCAGCUUCAAAAUGGCUUGCUUUUCUCCCAUAGACAGGUCUCUGGUCUUCAUGUCGGUUUAUUCUUUUUAACAACAAAUGCUGUCUCCACAGGUGAAACCCAGGGCUCAAACCAAGAGAAGACAUUCAGAGCUAUUCAUUCUUUAAAGUCCAUUUAACGAGCUGCCUGUUUGGUACAUUCCUCUACAGCAGUGAGCAGGAGAGAAUGGAAAAGGAAGUACAGGGUAAAACGGUCACUGUGGUCCUACGUUAACAGUCAGCCGGAGGACUUCACUAACCCGUUCUAUGUGGACUGUAAAAACCAGGUGCUGUAUCCACUGGCCAGUGUCACACAUCUGGAGCUCUGGGUGGGUUAUUAUGUGCGCUGGAACCCACGCAUGAGACCACAGGUGCUUAUACUGCAAACCACACUCUAUGAAAUUCUGGGGAAAUGCUCAAAAAUAGUGUUUCCAAUAUAUACCAAAAUACCCAGUUACUUGUAUAACUGAACAGUGUCACUUCAGACACAUGAUGAAUGUCUCUUUUUAUUUCUAGAUGUUUCUGGGUUUUAACACCAAGUUUGCUUUAAAAAAACAAAACCAUUUCUAUCAGCACAAAGCUAAAAAAAACACAAAAGCUGGAGUAAUGGGUCGGUAAGCAUAAAAAGUGCCGUACACAGUGGAACUGGACACACGAGGAUCUCUGACACUGUUGACCCUUCAGUGGUUCCAUUUUCAGUUCUAGUUUGUAGGUACAGGUUUCAGUCUUCAACAACAUUGUAGUUUUCUUUUUAAAAUGCACUCCUUGGUUGUGCUCACUGCAUUACAAACUCAAAUCCAACAUUGUGAGAUUAUUUUUUUUUAAGUGUGUUGAAAUGUAGUUUUCUUGUGAUUCCUCUAUAUUCCUGUAUAUUUCAUGAUUGGCUGGUUAGAAAACUACAUGAACGUACAGGUGUUCCUAAUAAAGUGGACGGUGAGUGAACAUGACGUGGCUGAAACGAUUUCCAAAACACUUCAGGAGCAGCUAGCGAUAAAGAUUAAGGUUACACCGGCUUGAUGAUUGAUCUUUUAAUAAUGCUACAUAAAUAAAUAGAAAGCGAAUGGAAUGAUUUAGAAAAUCGGUGUCCCAGAACGAAACUGAUGUUUGUGUGCUUUGUUGAUUUCUUAUGUAGACGCCGCUCCAUCAGAAUUUGAGAGUUAUUGUUUUUGCGUGAAGAACGUGGAGGAGCUCCAGAGAGAGGCCACGUCAUCCUGCUCCAUCUCCUCAUCCUCAGAGCAUACUUCUCCCUCCUCACAUAGUGAAAAAGUUUUGCAGUUCCUAUCCAAAAGACACCAAGAGCCCAGAUGUCCUUAGAAACUAAAUGUAACCUCCAACUCGUGGCCUUUUCAGAAACUCGAUUCCCAGACGUCGCCACACUGAUCACAGUGCACCCUUCAAAUCCACCGUGCAGCGGAAAUGGACCAGUCGAUUUAAACGGAUUGUUGAAAAUGUAUGUUGUUCAAGGCAUUUGUGGAUUUGAAAUUUCGCUGCAAACCGAGUCUGAACAGUCGCCAGAAUCUGAGGCAAAAACACACGAAGGAACGAGAUCACGUCGUCAUUGCCUCGUCUCUGGUGUUCUACAUUUUUGACGAAAGUAACACCAGAGAUGCUGCGUUAAAAUGGUCAAGAAAAUUACACCAGAGUAAAAAAAAAUCCCAUUGUGUUAGAUUAUAAACAUCGACUGAAACUCUCGAUAGGACGUGACACUGUUGGAGAGUCGCAUACGAGCGGACAUUCAACAAUAUUUAGUAGAAGCCUUGUGGAUGUUUUCGUCUGUGUUCGUCUGUAAUAUACUGGACUGUCCUACCAAGAGUUCGACCACAACACAUUCAACUGAAGCUCAUACAGUCGGCAUACUGAACUCUCCUUUUUGCCAUAGUGCGGCCGCUUAACAGGAUAAGGCCUCAGAAGUCAAGCACCAGCAGCUUGUGGCUAAAAAACUGCAGCAGAAUUGAGCUCGGUUAGGAGGUGACGGGUGACGGAAAAAAGCCGGGGAACCUCGGAAAGGAAAACAGGGCUGUGUUCCAAAUCUUUUAUCGCCUCCUCUUCAAACUCCAAAAACCUCUGGGCCCUACAGCUAAAUCCAAAGCUGAGGAAAACAACCGUUCAACUAAGAAGGCCUUCUCAAACACAAUGUUUGAGCGAAGGGAGGAAAUGAUCAAACACAGAUCAAUUGGAACACAGCCCAUACAGCAAAACCGUAAAAGGUGCCAUAGAGCGUAAAUGAUUCAAAAAGACACAAAUCUAAGCCCAGUACAACCAGUUGAACAUGAAUAACACGCAAAGCACAUUUCACAAGCAUGAUAUCUUUCAAAAAUGUCCAAAAGUACAAAUUCCCUAAUAAAGGAAAAAGACAUGUUUGUGCUAACAUGUAAGACUUGAGUUUCUACAUCUUCCAAACAAGUACAC